GUGCAACUCGUCACCUGCGGUCGGACGGCGGUCAACAUUAACGGCGAGAUCGGUCCCUACUUUCCCACCCUAUGUGGGGUGCGCCAGGGUGACCCGUUCUCCCCGUUCCUUUUUAACAUGGUUGUCGAUGCCCUUGCGGUCAUCCUUGAUAAGGCCAAAGCCUGCGGCCAUAUCCGGGGCGUUGUCCCCCACCUAGUGGACGGAGGAGGGGUUUCCCUCCUCCAAUACGCGGAUGACACCAUAGUCAUGGUG
rnacentral:rRNA from 1 species